rnacentral:sRNA from 1 species
CUGUUCCAGUGCCCGAUCCCUCGCCCGCAACCCAUGCCUGACCCACCACCCGAUGAAGAACCGAUUAAAU